rnacentral:lncRNA from 1 species
AAAGACAUUUCAGAGGGUCUGAGUUCUUGGGAGGAGUGAGCUGCUUUUAAAGAGCCAGUUUGCCAGCACUGUGAUAUCUCUGGCACAUGAGACGUUUCAUUACCCAGAGGUAAUCACUAUUAAUUUUCUUAUGUAAAUAUUCAGAAAAAUUAUUAUUCA